AACGAACGCUGGCGGCAGGCCUAACACAUGCAAGUCGAGCGAGGACUUCGUUCCUUUCGGCGGACGGGGGAGGAACGCGGGGGAACGUGCCCUUUGCUUCCGAAUAGCUCUGUGUAACUUGGAUUAAUACCGGUUGAGCUCUUUGGGGGUAAGAUUUAUCGGCGAAGGAUCGGCGCGGGUUGGAUUAGGUAGUUGGUGGGGUACUCGCCUGCCAAGGCGACGAUCCAUGGCUGGUUGGAUAGGAUGGUCAUCCACGCUGGGACUGAGACACGGACUAGAAUGCUACGGGAGGCAGCAGUAGGGAAUCUUAGAGAAUGGGGGAAGACGUGACAUAGCCAUGCGGGGUAAGAGAUGAAGGGCUUAGGGUUGUAAAGCUCUUUGAGAUGAGAAGAUAAUGACGGUACCAGCAGAAGAAGCACCGGCUAACUACGUG
rnacentral:rRNA from 1 species